CUGUGAUCGUCAAGCUGCGUGGACCAUACCGGAUAUUGUAAUGUUUAGACCAAUUCAUACCAUUAGCAUCCAUGUUACAUCAUUCGCGUAAUGUAUAAAUG